rnacentral:rRNA from 1 species
UACGAAGGGGGCUAGCGUUGCUCGGAAUGACUGGGCGUAAAGGGCGCGUAGGCGGAUGGCACAGUCAGAUGUGAAAUUCCCGGGCUUAACCUGGGGGCUGCAUUUGAUACGUGUUGUCUUGAGUUCGGAAGAGGGUCGUGGAAUUCCCAGUGUAGAGGUGAAAUUCGUAGAGAUCCGGAAGAACACCGGUGGCGAAGGCGGUCUGCUGGGCAGUAGCUGACACUGAGGCGCGACAGCGUGGGGAGCAAACAGG